GACGAACGCUGGCGGCGUGCCUAACACAUGCAAGUCGAACGGAGCUUUUAUGGAAUGCGACUUCGGUCAAAUGAAGUUUAAGCUUAGUGGCGGACGGGUGAGUAACGCGUGAGCAACCUGCCUUUCAGAGGGGGACAACAGUUGGAAACGACUGCUAAUACCGCAUAACGUACAUUUAAGGCAUCUUUUAUGUACCAAAGAUUUAUCGCUGAAAGAUGGGCUCGCGUCCGAUUAGGUAGUUGGUGGGGUAAUGGCCUACCAAGCCGACGAUCGGUAGCCGGACUGAGAGGUUGAACGGCCACAUUGGGACUGAGACACGGCCCAAACUCCCUACGGGAGGCAGCAGUGGGGAAUAUUGCACAAUGGGGGAAACCCUGAUGCAGCGACGCCGCGUGAGUGAAGAAGUAUUCGGUAUGUAAAGCUCUAUCAGCAGGGAAGAAAAUAGACGGUACCUGACUAAGAAGCCCCGGCUAACUACGUG
rnacentral:rRNA from 1 species